rnacentral:tRNA from 1 species
CGGCUCGUAGCGCAGAGGUCGUCGCGCCCGACUGCUAAUCGGGAGGACGCCGGUUCGAUUCCGGCCGGGCCGC